CCAAUACUGACGCUCAUGCACGAAAGCGUGGGUAGCAAACAGGAUUAGAUACCCUGGUAGUCCACGCCCUAAACGAUGUCAACUAGGUGUUGGGUGGGUAAAACCAUUUAGUACCGGAGCUAACGCGUGAAGUUGACCGCCUGGGGAGUACGGCCGCAAGGUUAAAACUCAAAGGAAUUGACGGGGACCCGCACAAGCGGUGGAUGAUGUGGAUUAAUUCGAUGCAACGCGAAAAACCUUACCUACCCUUGACAUGUCCAGAAGCUCUUAGAGAUUUGAGUGUGCCCGAAAGGGAACUGGAACACAGGUGCUGCAUGGCUGUCGUCAGCUCGUGUCGUGAGAUGUUGGGUUAAGUCCCGCAACGAGCGCAACCCUUGUCGUUAAUUGCCAUCAUUCAGUUGGGCACUUUAACGAGACUGCCGGUGACAAACCGGAGGAAGGUGGGGAUGACGUCAAGUCCUCAUGGCCCUUAUGGGUAGGGCUUCACACGUCAUACAAUGGUCGGUACAAAGGGUUGCCAACCCGCGAGGGGGAGCUAAUCCCAGAAAGCCGAUCGUAGUCCGGAUCGUAGGCUGCAACUCGCCUGCGUGAAGUCGGAAUCGCUAGUAAUCGUGGAUCAGCAUGUCACGGUGAAUACGUUCCCGGGUCUUGUACACACCGCCCGUCACA
rnacentral:rRNA from 1 species